ACUUUUUCUUAAAUUCAAACCCUAGCCUAAGCUAAGGCUUCAGUUGAGCUGUUUUGGAAGAAUAUCAAGGCAAAAUUCUCUUUAUGAGCUCCAGUAGACACCAAAAGAUUGGAUAAUCUGCAGGAGGAGCCUCCAAUGCUUCCAAUUCGGUAACUCCAUUCUCCACUAUGAAAGCCGUGGCCAAGCCCCAUGUAAUGUGGACAUCCAAGUGACAGUGCAUUAUCCAAACUCCUGUUUUAUGCAAAAUUAUUAGUUUUAAAUAUCAACCUAUUAGUUGAAAAGGGAAAGAAAAGGAAUUGGCAAAAUUGUUAAUCUCACCUGGAUUAUCUGCAACAAAACGGAUGACUGUCCAUCCAUUGACUGGUACGCUUGCUGUGUUUCUAAGAGGUGGGUUCACUAGGUUAAACUUUGCUGUAUCUUGUUGUGGAUUGAAGUUUCCAAAACCCUCGGCAAGGAUAUAGAAAUCAUAUCCAUGAAGAUGGAUUGGGUGGUUUUCAGCUGUGAAGAUAUUUGUUCCCUGCAGCACUAUCUGCACUCUUGCCCCGUAUUUCAACCUGUACACCUUUGUUCCAGAAGCAGGUUGCCAAAGUGAUCGGCUAACAUUACCAGUAUAAUCAAACUUAACUGGUGGAGCGGCUGGAAAGUCAGUUGUAAAAACUCCUGGGAUUCCUUGGUGAUGUGCCUGAAGUAGUGAAAAGUUGGAUGGGAGCACAAAUGACACAUUGUUCAUGCUGGCAGUGAACCGAGUUCCAUUUGGUCCCUGACAAUUUUGGGAACUUGCUCCCUUGGGGCAGUUAUUGAGUCCUAGACCAACGGUGAUAAAGAGGUUUUCGUCAAUUUCAGUAGGCACCUCAACAUUUCUUAGACUUCUGAAACUCGUUGUGAAGGCUGUGGCGGUUGCUGUAUCAUUGUAUGCUGGUAGAGAUGGGAGAACCGGAGUUGUCUGACCUCCCUUGGAGGAGGAAGAAGCAGCCUUGUACUGUAGGAUGGCUGUGGUUGUAGUGUUAUCAAACGGUGCACCUUGUGCACUGGCAUAUGCUCGUGCUGCCAUGUAGUAACGGGCCGGUGGCUGAUUGGCGGUGAUUAGGACAUCAGUAGUCUGGCCUGGUCCUAGCAUGAUGACUGAAGUAGUAAAGGGCUUCACAUAAGAGGCAUCAGCUCCAACUACUGUGAGUUUGUGGUUGGCAACCGAGAAGAAAAGCUGUUGAUUGAGUGCAGCGUUGAUAACUCUAAGGAGGUUGGUCUCGCCUGAGUCCACUUGGACUACUACAGUUUCUGUAUCAAAACAUACUAAAGCAAUCAAUCUUUGAAGAAUGAAAAUUCCUGCUUGGCCAAUGCUAGAAUAGCUCAGAGGUAUAUAUAAGUGGUCUAAAAUCCUCUUAAAAGUUGUUCCACUCUGGCAUCUAGCAUCGGUAUGCAUACUACCUUGGCUGCAAAUUUGCUAGUUGUUAUUAUCAGUUGAUUUUUAAUUGGUGGACAAUUUCAGAUUAGUUAAAUAGAUAUUGGAUGUUAAGAGUUUUUGCCGGUUUAUUGGAAUCAUUACUGUUUAUGACACAAUACAGGGCUAUCAUGUGUUAUUUUUAAUUCUCAUGGAAAGUUGUUUAAGGCAGAGAACCAGAGAGGUACUCAUAAUUCUUACCUUUGCUGGAGCACUUGAACAGGUCACCAGGUUGUCCAUUGAUAGUGAAUGCAUCUGAUACAUUUGGAGCGGCUCCAGUUCUCUGAGCUUGCCUUAUAACAUCAAUGGGGUUUGCAUUCCACCACUCACCUGAUCAUCAUUAUUGUCAAACUUUCAGUGAUUAUUUCAGAAACUUUGUUUGAAGGCAAACUAUAUCCAAAAAUUGCAGCAAAGAAUGCUCAAAUAACUGUUUAUCAGUCUUGUCUUACGUUGAAAUCUUUGGUUAAGAAAGAAAAUUACCGAGUACAACAGGUGUUUCUCUUGUAGGCUUAGGGAAUGGGUAGGACUCCCCUUCUCUUGGACGGAUGAUAAGAGCUCCGUAAACGGUGGCCCUGAGCCAUGAGCUGUGGGCAUGCCACCAAAGCGUCCCUUCCUGACCGUUGAUUGUAAAUCUGUAAGUAUAGCUCCCUCCUGGCCUAAUUGGGCACUGCGUAAUAAACUCUGGUCCAUCUGCCCAUGCUGUUCUAAUCUGCCGGACACCGUGCCUGUUUUUGUGCAUAACGAGGACAGAUAAGAAGUCAAUAAACUCAUUUUCUUUAUUUGCGAAUAUAUUUACUAAUACACUGCAUGCAUGCUUUGUUUCACAAACCUACCAGUGAAUGGUGACAUUGUAUUGUGCUUUAUUGAUAACCUUGAUCUCUAACGUAUCACCAUUGUUCACUUCCAAGGUUGGUCCAGGGAACUGCCCGUUCACUGUUAUCAUGUUAUGGGUACUGCACAGCCUCGUCACUGGUGUUGCUUGAAUCUGUCACACAACAACAAACUCACAUCAGUAUCCUCCAGUUCCCGAGAGCCUAAAACAACCAAAGAAAAAUCAAGAAAUGGAAUAUGAAGCAUGAUAAAAUUCGGUGCCAUACAACAAACUGGUGCUGCUGAACUUUAGCAUUUGCCAAAGAAAGCGUGUUUGCGAAGAGCACCAGAAGGCCAAAGAGCAAGAAAGAGCGAAACGGUUUAUCAAUGCUGCUGCUGCCGAGAGCUGCCAUGUUUGACUUCAGGGCUUAUCAGAUCAGGUAACAGCAGAUGCUUUAUGCUUUUUUUUACUUGUGAAGAGAAUAGAAUUGAGGGCAUUCUUUUAUAGUGGGGGAAAUGGGAGUGUUUAACUUGAGGGUUGGCAGAUUAGGUUCUGACUCAGCAUGAAGGUCAGCUUCAAUGGCUGAUUUAGUUCACCCACUGCCCUAUCAAACUGCCAAAAUUCUCUUAAUGCUUGCUUCCUAAGACUUUUUCAUGGGCAUGUAUUUCUAUGCAUAAUCAUUAUUUUACCCAGAUUUUACUUCACAUUUCUGAUACUAUGUCUUUAUUUUUUUCU